ACCUCCUCCUCCUCCACCACCCGCAGCAGCUCCAGCCGCGGCUUCACCACCUCACCGCUAAACGUAGGCAGCGGGCGGAGGAAUACCAACUCUCGGUGUUUACGGGCUUCAUUUGUUGUCGGUGGUGGCAAACACGGGCUCGCGUGCACGGGUUAGUUCCCCUCCGCGUGCGCCCGUCCGCAGACGUAGAGCGUGCUUUCCCCCCCUCACGCAGCGACUAGAGCGCUAUGGAGAGGAAGUGACACCACGCCAAGCCACGACUGAGCGCUUACGUCACAACUCCUCUCUCCUCAAGACAGCAAAAGAGGAAUGGAGUGCCAGUGUGCCCUGCACCAGUGAUUGGGGACAAAUGAUGGAGGAGAAGAAGGAUCUUGUGUUUAGUCCCUGAGCUCUCACCGAGUGGC
rnacentral:lncRNA from 1 species